rnacentral:rRNA from 1 species
UACAGAGGUCUCAAGCGUUGUUCGGAUUCAUUGGGCGUAAAGGGUGCGUAGGCGGCGCGGUAAGUCGGGUGUGAAAUCUCGGAGCUUAACUCCGAAACUGCAUUCGACACUGCCGUGCUUGAGGACUGGAGAGGAGACUGGAAUUUACGGUGUAGCGGUGAAAUGCGUAGAUAUCGUAAGGAAGACCAGUGGCGAAGGCGGGUCUCUGGACAGUUCCUGACGCUGAGGUGCGAAAGCGUGGGGAGCAAACAGG